rnacentral:ncRNA from 20 species
GCCAUUCACCAGGGGUGUCCCGUCAAGGGGCUGAGAUUCUGCUUUCAUGCGCAGUGACCCGUUGAACCUGAUCCAGUUCAUACUGGCGUAGGGACGGUGCAAAGACCUGAUG